rnacentral:rRNA from 1 species
CCUACGGGCGACUGCAGUGAGGAAUAUUGGUCAAUGGGAGAGAUCCUGAACCAGCCAAGCCGCGUGAGGGAAGACGGCCCUAUUGGUUGUAAACCUCUUUUGUCGGAGAACAAAACCCGGUACGUGUCCCGGACUGCGUGUAUCCGAAGAAAAAGCAUCGGCUAACUCCGUGCCAGCAGCCGCGGUAAUACGGAGGAUGCGAGCGUUAUCCGGAUGUAUUGGGUUAAAAGGGUGCGUAGGCGGUCCGUUAAGUCAGAGGUAAAAUUGCGGGGUUCAACCCCGUCGAGCCGUUGAAACUGGGAGUCUUGAGUUGGCGAGAAGUACGCGGAAUGCGCGGUGUAGCGGUGAAAUGCAUAGAUAUCGCGAAGAACUCCGAUUGCGAAGGCAGCGUACCGGAGCCAGACUGACGCUGAGGCACGAAAGCGUGGGGAUCGAACAGGAUUAGAUACCCCUGUAGUC